rnacentral:rRNA from 1 species
GGUAUGUAAACUUCUAUCAGCAGGGAAGAAAAUGACGGUACCUGACUAAGAAGCCCCGGCUAACUACGUGCCAGCAGCCGCGGUAAUACGUAGGGGGCAAGCGUUAUCCGGAUUUACUGGGUGUAAAGGGAGCGUAGACGGCAUAACAAGUCUGAUGUGAAAGGCUGGGGCUUAACCCCGGGACUGCAUUGGAAACUGUUAAGCUUGAGUGCCGGAGGGGUAAGCGGAAUUCCUAGUGUAGCGGUGAAAUGCGUAGAUAUUAGGAGGAACACCAGUGGCGAAGGCGGCUUACUGGACGGUAACUGACGUUGAGGCUCGAAAGCGUGGGGAGCAAACAGGAUUAGAUACCCUGGUAGUCCACGCCGUAAA